CACUCAAUAAUACUGUUAUUCUUCCCUUUCAAAAAAGUUUUCUAUCAUCUUCCAAAUACUUAAACACUUUCUCUUACUAUCCAAAACUUGAUUCCAAUAAAUAGUGUGUUAUGGUUAUUCUGUUUUGAGUAGUUAUAUAUUAUAUAAACAUAAAUUAAACAGGAAUGUGAAAUACCUUUUCUGCUUCAUUCUAAGUUGAAGAUGAGGUUUAUUCAUUUAAUGAGAAUUUAUAGUAUGCAACAUGAUUGAUCACUUGUUAGAGAUAUUUUUUCCGUUUCUCGACCGUGAUUUCCUUGAGUACACUUACUUUGAGAAAAAUGGACCAGGCUCUUUGUUGAUGUUGAUGUUGGUUGUGGUUCAUAAUUAAGAUAGAUACCUAAACCCGACAAAAUUCAUGCAACAUUCUGACCUAACUUCCCAUCCAAAGCAACAGGGUAAGACUUCCGACGAUGAUCAAGCAGAAAAAUCUCAAGAAGGUAAAAUGGGCGUGUUAAGAGAUAAUAAUAAUUGGAAGAGAAAGAAGAUAGUGUAGAUGAGUUGAGAAAUUCCAUGCCCUUUUCAUCUUUGCAUCCGUGAUCCGUCCAUGAUGUAGUUUGCAAUUUUGUAUUUCCUUUGUUGGAUUCUUGCAAUCAUGCCUUAUAUGAUCCUAUUCAAGAGGCUGAAUGUUACAUUAAAUUUGAUAAAGUUUGUAUAUUCAUUUGAUUUGAUCCUAGUUAAAUCUAAUUUCUAGUCAAAGAAUGUAAUAAAAUGUGUGAGGCGGUGUCACAAUA